rnacentral:tRNA from 1 species
UCCCUGGUGGCUCAGUGGUAAAGAAUUUGCCUGCAAAUGCAGCAGUCCCAGGUUCAAGCCCUGGUCAGGGAA